GACUGUGUUUGACAUUCAACUCUGUCAGGCUAACAAAUUUUCAUCUGUCAAAAGUGAAGUGCUGUGAUCUGAAAUUAAAAUUAACUCAGCUCAAUCCAUUCAUCUUGCGCCAUGAACUAUAUUGCUCUCCUCCUCUGUGGUCUAUAUGGAGGAGUUUUUGAGAGGCAGUGAAUCAGACUUCAUGAGACUCCUCUCCAGACGACAGCCUUCAGAGCAAAUCCUUGUGCACUACAAGGUUGAGCAGAAAAUCCUCCAAGGAGUGAAGGUCGUCCAGGUGGCUGACUGCUGCAUCGAUCACAAGCAUCACCUGCGACGCAUGCAAAAAAAAAAAAAAAACAGGUGCAGAGACA